GCAGUGGGGAAUAUUGCACAAUGGGGGAAACCCUGAUGCAGCCAUGCCGCGUGUGUGAAGAAGGCCUUCGGGUUGUAAAGCACUUUCAGUAGGGAGGAAGGUAGUGUAGUUAACACCUGCAUUAUUUGACGUUACCUACAGAAGAAGCACCGGCUAACUCCGUGCCAGCAGCCGCGGUAAUACGGAGGGUGCGAGCGUUAAUCGGAAUUACUGGGCGUAAAGCGCAUGCAGGCGGCCUGUUAAGUCAGAUGUGAAAGCCCGGGGCUUAACCUCGGAAUUGCAUUUGAAACUGGCAGGCUAGAGUCUUGUAGAGGGGGUAGAAUUUCAGGUGUAGCGGUGAAAUGCGUAGAGAUCUGAAUGAAUACCAGUGGCGAAGGCGGCCCCCUGGACAAAGACUGACGCUCAGAUGCGAAAGCGUGGGGAGCAAACAGGAUUAGAUACCCUGGUAG
rnacentral:rRNA from 1 species